GAUGAACGCUGGCUACAGGCUUAACACAUGCAAGUCGAGGGGAAACGACGGGGAAGCUUGCUUCCCCGGGCGUCGACCGGCGCACGGGUGAGUAACGCGUAUCCAACCUGCCUCUGACUGAGGGAUAACCCGUCGAAAGUCGGCCUAAUACCUCAUGGCGUCGUCUGCGGGCAUCCAACGACGAUUAAAGAUUUCAUCGGUCAGAGAUGGGGAUGCGUCUGAUUAGCUUGUUGGCGGGGUAACGGCCCACCAAGGCGACGAUCAGUAGGGGUUCUGAGAGGAAGGUCCCCCACAUUGGAACUGAGACACGGUCCAAACUCCUACGGGAGGCAGCAGUGAGGAAUAUUGGUCAAUGGGCGAGAGCCUGAACCAGCCAAGUAGCGUGCAGGAUGACGGCCCUAUGGGUUGUAAACUGCUUUUAUGCGGGGAUAAAGUGAGGGACGUGUCCUUCAUUGCAGGUACCGCAUGAAUAAGGACCGGCUAAUUCCGUG
rnacentral:rRNA from 1 species